GUGUCAGCAGCCGCGGUAAUACGGAGGAUGCGAGUGUUAUCCGGAUUCAUUGGGUUUAAAGGGUGCGUAGGCGGAAUAUUAAGUCAGCGAUGAAAUCCUGCAGCUUAACUGUAGAACUGUCAUUGAUACUGGUAUUCUUGAAUUCAGUUGAGGUAGGCGGAAUGUGUAAUGUAGCGGUGAAAUGCUUAGAUAUUACACAGAACACCGAUUGCGAAGGCAGCUUACUAAACUGUUAUUGACGCUGAGGCACGAAAGCGUGGGGAGCAAACAGGAUUAGAUACCCUGGUAGUCCACGCCGUAAACUAUGAUUACUCGCUGUUGGCGAUACACUGUCAGCGGCUGAGCGAAAGCAUUAAGUAAUCCACCUGGGGAGUACGAUCGCAAGGUUGAA
rnacentral:rRNA from 1 species